UACAGAGGUCCCAAGCGUUGUUCGGAUUCACUGGGCGUAAAGGGUGCGUAGGCGGUCGGGUAAGUCUGAUGUGAAAUCUCACAGCUUAACUGUGAAACUGCAUUGGAUACUAUCCGGCUCGAGGAAUGGAGGGGAGACUGGAAUACUUGGUGUAGCAGUGAAAUGCGUAGAUAUCAAGUGGAACACCAGUGGCGAAGGCGGCUCACUGGACCGGAACUGACGCUGAUGCGCGAAAGCGUGGGGAGCAAACGGG
rnacentral:rRNA from 1 species